GCUCCCGUCGUCCAGCGGUCUAGGACAUCGCCCUUUCAAGGCGGAAACCGGGGUUCAAACCCCCGCGGGAGCGCCA
rnacentral:tRNA from 3 species